rnacentral:misc_RNA from 1 species
GAUGAAGAACGUAGCGAAAUGCGAUAAGUAAUGUGAAUUGCAUAAUUCAGUGAAUCAUCGAAUCUUUGAACGCACAUUGCGCCCCCUGGUAUUCCGGGGGGCAUGCCUGUUCGAGCGUCAUUACAACCCUCAAGCUCUGCUUGGUAUUGGGCCCCGCCAGUUCUGGCGGGCCCUAAAGUCAGUGGCGGUGCCUUCCGGCUCCGAGCGUAGUAAUUCUUCUCGCUCUGGAGACCCGGUUGUGUGCUUGCCAACAACCCCCAAUUUUUUAAGGUUGACCUCGGAUCAGGUAGGGAUACCCGCUGAACUUAAGCAUAUCAAUAAGCGGAGGA